CCAAAGUUGCAUCCAACCCGAGAAGGUCAAACAACAAUGCUUAAUCCAGGAUGGUACUAUCCCUGGACAACCAAGACGACUGGAGUCAGAUUCCACUCUUCCACCGCAAAGCUAGCCGUCUUCACAGCGCACAGAUAGAUGGAAGUUGUUUGCUCUGCUCCAAUCCAGAAAAGGGAUCACACAACGCAGAUGAGUGAAGCCCUUGAAGAAGGCCUUGAUAGCUGAGACGAAAGCCUGGAAGAAACUGUUCAAGUACCUAAAGGAGAAGUACAAAAAGAAAAUGAUUGACACAAGCAUAAAUACUAAUAAAUAACUUCAUACCACUAUCUCGUCCGGUGGCUAAUUUGAAAGAUGUGCGUUGUGCCAUGGGGGCCCUGUCUAAGCUUUAGGAUGCUGAAAUCCAAACUGAUAUGACAUUGAUAUCCAUUGAGGAAGCGUUUCAAAUUUUGACUGAAUAUGAAGCAGAGGUGACUAAAAGAGAAGCAGAGAGUGUCUACAAUCUGAGGCAUUUCUUCACAAAGCUUCAGUCUAAAGCGAGAUCAGUGCAAGAGGAUCUUGUCCAUAUGCAGCCCAAGUUCAAACACACCCUUCUAGAUUGUGUGGCCAUUUUCCAAAAUAAUGUUGACAUUUUUGUGAAACAAUGUGAUUCAGUGCCCAAAGCUACCCAAAGGAUUGAAGGACUGGCAAGCCUUCCAAGACCUGAAGAUGACGAUUGAUGAUUUCAGUGAGUCAUGCCCUCUGCUUGAGAUGAUGGCAAGCAAGUCUAUGAUGAGGAGACACUGGCCCCGAAUUACAGACCUGACUCUGCACCAAUUUGAGGACAUCUGCAUAUCAUCUGUGAAGGAGAAGGAUAUUGAGGCCAAGUUGUCUUAAGUGAAAGAAGUUUUGUCCAGCCAGAUUCGGAGCUUGAUGACGUCUAGGGAUAGAGGAGAACUGAUGCUGUAAGGAACAGAUACAGUAGAGAUUCUCACCAUGCUGGAGGAUUGUAUGAUGGUGUUGGGGUCACUGCUGAGCAACAGGAACGACGCAAAUUUGGACCAUGGGUUUGGAACAUACCAUAUGAGUUCAACUCUGCUGAUUUCACUGCAAGUGUUGAAUUCAUUGAGCGACACUUGGAUGAUUGCGGCCCCAGGAAGGUUAGAAUUCUGCAACAGUGGUCUAACUUUUAUACAUAAUAUAAAUAUUUUACAUAAUGUUAUGCUUUCCUACAUGAUGUGUCCUGGGUAACUGUGUGGUACAUGCUAGCUGAGGUGCAAUAUGAAAGAAGCGUUACAGAUGACUAUGACAAACGCCUACUCAAUAGUUUUUUUGAGUGUAAUAAUCCCAUUUUUGUAAUCAUUCAUGCAUGCAUGCAUUCAUUCAUUCAUCUCCUUAAUCAGUUUCAUUUAGUCUGCUACAAUACAUGAGAAUGGGUGUUUUUUAAUUGCAGGUGUGGUUCAGUAAAAAGGUGUUUGACCCCAUAUUCUGCACAGGCUACAAAAUUCCAGUGUGCAAGACAGUAGAGGAGUACAUGGAAUGUAUUCAGAGCUUGCCCACUGUGGAUUUGCCCCAGGCAUUGGGGCUGUAUUCUAAUGCUGAUAUCACGUAAGAAAACAUUGACCAAAAACUAUUAUUAAAGCCACUCUUACUUUGGAGUCUCUUAAACAAUAACUGAAAAAGAUACUGUGCUUAUAUUGUGUUAUUAGCGUUCAAACCGCAAAGCGGUAGAACCCUUCUAUGUUUGUCUGUUUUAGUUAUUGUUAUUAUUUGUUGUCUGCUGCGCCAACUGAAAUUCCUGUAAGCUGGAAUGAGCUAGAAACAUGAAACUUGGGUCAAUAACUGAAAAUGGUGUGCAUGUGCUUCUGUAGAAAUAUGAACCCAAUCGGCCACAUGGUGGCACUGUUAUUAAGGCUUCAACAUGCAAACUUUGAAAGGCCUUGCCCCCCACACAUAAAAAAACACCAGAGGGUGUGUGCCAAUUACAGGGGUAUCACACUUAUCAGCCUCCCUGGUAAAGUCUACUCCAAGGUGCUGGAAAGGAGGGUUUGGCUGAUAGUUGAACCUCGGAUUGAAAUGGAACAAUGCGGAUUCCUUCCUGGUCGUGGAACAACGGAUCAGAUCUUCACUCUCGCAACGAUCCUGGAGGGAGUCUGGGAGUAUGCCCAACCGGUCUGCAUGUGUUUUGUGGAUCUGGAGAAGGCAUAUGACCGGGUCCCCCGGGAGAUACUGUGGGAGGUGCUGCAGGAGUAUGGGGUGAGAGGGUCCCUUCUCAGGGAAAGUGGUUAAGGUUAGGAUAGCCGAUUGGUAAGGGGAUUGGACCAAAUGAGAUUAAAUCACAGCGAUUUCUCAGGAUCCAGAAUGUGUUGCAAUGAACACAAAACAAUCUGUUACUCGCCCAGCAAGGUAAACAACUGCUAAAAAGUACUACGGACUGAACUACAUUUGCACAUAAAAUAAGAUUAUUACAAAAGAUAUCAACCUUAAAACUGUUCACAAUCUUCCCUUUAGUAAAGUUCUAAAAAAGCAAUAACAUAACAGAAAUUGGAGGUCUGCACUACAGCCUAAUCUUUGAAAACCCCUUUUUACAAAUAUAACCUGACAAAGAGAAGGACACUCACUAGCACUCACUGAUAUGGUUACUUAAGGCCAGCGUUACGUAUUAGUUAAGGUUAAGAUGAGUAACAGGAGUUGAAUUUUGCAAUGAAUGCAAAUCUAAACCCUUAACGUGUCCCAGAGCAUGUCAUGCAUAUGUGUGUAAGGCAGGGAUGGGGAGUGCUUUUUGAGUGACAUGUCCUUUUUCCCAAAGUGAAUACUGGGCCGAAGACGAGCAACUGGCGCCAGCCAUCAAAAUCCCUCCUACCCUCUAAGUGAUCCCCAAUUAUGUCAACGGGGGUAAAUGGUGUCCCUUUGAAAAGUGUUCUUAAUCAAACCCAAUUAUUUCCGCUCUUUUCCCUUAUUAUUUCCACCAUGGACCACAUCCCGCUAGUCAGCCUGUUAACUAGAGCCUGGGCCCCAGCGAAGGUCACGCUUGGCCAAGCAAAAUAACAUAAUAAUGUGUGUAAUUAAUCACCAGUUCUGAGUGUGUCUCAAGCAAAUUCUGGAUGAUGCUACAUUAAGUCUUUCUGGCAAAGGUGAGGUGACAAAGGUUAUAACUAAAUAUAGCACAGUCUGACACUUUUGAUUUACAUCUUUUCCCCUGAUUUAUUGUGCCAAACUGCAGAAGCAUAUACAUGGUAUGAAUGUUUAGCAAUUGCUUUACCUAAAGGGUAACAAUUAGGAGCUAGGCAGUAAGAGAAAUAACUUUGUCUGUUAAUGUGUCCUAUCCUGGGAAAUUAUUUUCCUAGUGUAGAGGUCCUAAGAAGUAGCCUAAGAAGCCAGACCAAAAUCAAGAUGUUGGGUCAGGGAACUCACCAUUGGCAGGGCUAAAUCCGAGGGGCGGGAUAAACGAUUGUCAUUCAAAUUCCCUCUGCACGCAGUAGGAUAGCGUUACAACCAACCAGAGCAACCAGGGGCGGAUUGGCCAUCUGACAAUUCUGGCAAGUGCCAGAGGGGCCGGACCAUUUUUAAAAUGUGGGCCGGUCAGAUUUUUUUUUUAAAUAUACAAAUAAAUUGUCUUUACAGGCCGACAGCGUAUAUGAUGGUCUUUUAUCACUUGCAUGAUUUCACUUCGGUUAUAAUAAUAAUAAUUAUAUUAAUAAUAAUAAUAGUAAUAAAUAUUAAACAUUUGGCCAGUUGGCAACAGCCAUCCUGGUCCCGAGAUGGGCCGACCGAUCCAAUCAGAGGUUAAUCUGGGGGGGCCUCUGCUGACUGGUGCAGAGCAUUGUUGGCGCUCCAACUGCUGUCCGUCUGCUGUCUGUAUGCAUGAACUGUGGUGGUCAAUUACACUGUAGGUUAUGUUCAACAUCGCUGAUAAUGUUUGAUCAAUAGAAUGUAGAAAACAUUACACUUCACAGCGUUUUGUAUCCAUAAUAUGAUUGUGUUGUACAAUUUGGCGGUAAAAGCAAUAGCCUAUAUGUCAAUCCUACAUUUCUGGGAGCAAUACGUGCUCCUUGGGGGGAAAAAAAGUUACCAUAAGCCAUAGUUCAUGCUGACAUAACAACUGGACUUUGGAGUUAAGGGUUUUUGUAUCUGUCCCAUGUCCCGGAUGUGAAAGCCCCCUUAUUGGACUACUAAUAUUUAAUUAUAUUUUGUAUUUUUAAUUGUUACCUGCCACCAGAAUUGUGAUUUCCCUUGCCGUAAAUAUAUACGUUUUUACCAUAAAUUUGUGCAUAAAAAUUAAUGCAGAAUGCAGUCUUUUAUCCUCAAAAUCCCCCAUCUCUCCCUGCAAAUUUGCUGCGGUUAGUGUGCGUCUAGAUUUCUAGGCUACCUAAGAAGGCCUCCAUAUUAUUUGGUAAACCUUUAUCAUUUAAUUUUUAUUAUGACCCUAUCUUGCUGACUUACACAAGUCUUACACAAUGGGUAUGUAUGGACAGGAAGCAAGUUUCCCCACUCACUAAGACUUGAAAACAUGUUUCUUUUUUCUAAAGUUACCACUUUCCCAACAGUUUCUCUUAUUGUCCCUCCUGCCUCGCUGAUAGUGCUAUUCAUGCUCUGAUGCAGACGUUAUCAAAUCAAAUAAACCUAACCCUGCAAGAGGAAUAGUUUUUAAUUUUUACCUCUCUCCCUUGGGGAAUCUUUGCACACCAUUUUUCCUUUGAAAUAUAAUGCACAGCUCUAUUUCAGUAUAUAACAAUUCUAUACUCCAAACUCUAAAUCUAUUUUACUAAAGAUAGAAGCUGUGAAGCAAAAAGUUCUGUAACAAUAAAGUGGGUAUUGAGUUUAAGUUGUGACUACCGAUAAUGUUGCAAUGUUCUUGGACACAAAAUAGACCUCCCUUACAAUCCUCCAUCCAAAAAUAAAUUGGAGCCACUAAACCAAACAGACUACUGGAGGGCAAUUAGAACUUGAGCCCUUGUGGCCUCUGCAGUCUAGCAGGCGGGGCCUCCUGACACCCCUUGUUGGGCCUGAUGGAGUGGAGCUUCAUCUGCCUAACGGCCUGGCAAAGCUCCACAGGCCUCCAUCAGGCCAACUUGCUCUGUCACAG